rnacentral:rRNA from 1 species
CGGACGGGUGAGCAACACGUGGAUAACCUACCUAUAAGACUGGGAUAACUUCGGGAAACCGGAGCUAAUACCGGAUAAUAUAUUGAACCGCAUGGUUCAAUAGUGAAAGACGGUUUUGCUGUCACUUAUAGAUGGAUCCGCGCCGCAUUAGCUAGUUGGUAAGGUAACGGCUUACCAAGGCAACGAUGCGUAGCCGACCUGAGAGGGUGAUCGGCCACACUGGAACUGAUACACGGUCCAGACUCCUACGGGAGGCAGCAGAG